UACAGAGGGUGCAAGCGUUAAUCGGAGUUACUGGGCGUAAAGGGCGCGUAGGCGGUUAUUUAAGUUUGAUGUGAAAUCCCUGGGCUUAACCUAGGAACUGCAUUGAAUACUGGGUAACUGGAGUACUGUAGAGGGUAGUGGAAUUUCCGGUGUAGCGGUGAAAUGCGUAGAGAUCGGAAGGAACACCAGUGGCGAAGGCGGCUACCUGGACAGAUACUGACGCUGAGGCGCGAGAGCGUGGGGAGCAAACGAGGAUUGAUAA
rnacentral:rRNA from 1 species